GAUGAACGCUGGCGGCGUGCCUAAUACAUGCAAGUCGAGCGAACGGACGAGAAGCUUGCUUCUCUGAUGUUAGCGGCGGACGGGUGAGUAACACGUGGAUAACCUACCUAUAAGACUGGGAUAACUUCGGGAAACCGGAGCUAAUACCGGAUAAUAUUUUGAACCGCAUGGUUCAAAAGUGAAAGACGGUCUUGCUGUCACUUAUAGAUGGAUCCGCGCUGCAUUAGCUAGUUGGUAAGGUAACAGCUUACCAAGGCAACGAUGCAUAGCCGACCUGAGAGGGUGAUCGGCCACACUGGAACUGAGACACGGUCCAGACUCCUACGGGAGGCAGCAGUAGGGAAUCUUCCGCAAUGGGCGAAAGCCUGACGGAGCAACGCCGCGUGAGUGAUGAAGGUCUUCGGAUCGUAAAACUCUGUUAUUAGGGAAGAACAUAUGUGUAAGUAACUGUGCACGUCUUGACGGUACCUAAUCAGAAAGCCACGGCUAACUACGUG
rnacentral:rRNA from 1 species